CAGGAAUGCAAGUGAAUGAAUCCCAUCCCCUAGCGAGUGAAGUGCUUACGCCCCUUUGGGGCGCGCUAGCGCUUUACUAAUAUAAUAGAAUCGUUCCCGUUAUAUAUAUAUAAUAGAAAGUCAAGGGGGCUGAGAAGCUGUUGCUUGCUGUCUACUUCGCGAGCCCACUGCCCCGUUCUGUAACUUCCCUUCUUUCGUCCGUCCACGAGGCUGUAAAAAGAGAGAAAGGGGCGGCUAUCUAGUGGGAGUCGUUUCGGUUGUAUGCCACGAGGUCCCUAUGGACAAGGGGACAAGUGAAUCAUCGCUUUUGGGCGCAGGCAGCCCUCUACCAUCCAUCCCAUUGCAUUCCAUCGUCUCGUAUUGUACUGUACCGUAUCAGACCAGAUACAUCCAUUGAGUGAGAGAAAGGUAGUGUAACUAAUUAUAUAUUCUUCAUUUUUAUAUUGAUAGGGAUCCCCAUUCAUUCCUAGAUUCCCGUCACUACGGAUUGAUUGCCCCUACCUAACUACAUGGUAGUGGUCUAGGGAGCGAAAUUGCUAGAGCACGGGAGAAUGAAGAGUAAUGAUUUCAGCAAGAGCAGCCGGACGGACUACUAUAGUGAGUCUAGUGACUACUAGAGUAGAGUUGAGUCAAA
rnacentral:misc_RNA from 1 species